rnacentral:rRNA from 1 species
UGGGGAAUAUUGCACAAUGGGCGCAAGCCUGAUGCAGCCAUGCCGCGUGUAUGAAGAAGGCCUUCGGGUUGUAAAGUACUUUCAGCGAGGAGGAAGGCGUUGUGGUUAAUAACCGCAACGAUUGACGUUACUCGCAGAAGAAGCACCGGCUAACUCCGUGCCAGCAGCCGCGGUAAUACGGAGGGUGCAAGCGUUAAUCGGAAUUACUGGGCGUAAAGCGCACGCAGGCGGUCUGUCAAGUCGGAUGUGAAAUCCCCGGGCUCAACCUGGGAACUGCAUCCGAAACUGGCAGGCUAGAGUCUUGUAGAGGGGGGUAGAAUUCCAGGUGUAGCGGUGAAAUGCGUAGAGAUCUGGAGGAAUACCGGUGGCGAAGGCGACCCCCUGGACAAAGACUGACGCUCAGGUGCGAAAGCGUGGGGAGCAAACA